rnacentral:rRNA from 1 species
CGUUCCCUAGCUGGUUUGAGAGGAGGAUCAGCCACACUGGGACUGAGACACGGCCCAGACUCCUACGGGAGGCAGCAGUGGGGAAUAUUGCACAAUGGGCGCAAGCCUGAUGCAGCCAUGCCGCGUGUGUGAAGAAGGCCUUCGGGUUGUAAAGCACUUUCAUUCAGGAGGAAAGGUUAGUAGUUAAUACCUGCUAGUUGUGACGUUACUGACAGAAGAAGCACCGGCUAACUCCGUGCCAGCAGCCGCGGUAAUACGGAGGGUGCGAGCGUUAAUCGGAAUUACUGGGCGUAAAGCGUACGCAGGCGGUUUGGUAAGCGAGAUGUGAAAUCCCCGGGCUCAACCUGGGAACUGCAUUUGGAACUGGCAAACUAGAGUGUGUAAAGGGUGGUAGAAUUUCAGGUGUAGCGGUGAAAUGUGAUUUUCUGGAGGAAUACCGAUGGCGAAGGCAGCCACCUUGGGUCAACACUGACGUUCAAGCACGAAAGG